UACGUAGGGUCCGAGCGUUGUCCGGAAUUACUGGGCGUAAAGAGCUCGUAGGUGGUUUGUCGCGUUGUCCGUGAAAACUCACAGCUCAACUGUGGGCGUGCGGGCGAUACGGGCAGACUGGAGUACUGCAGGGGAGACUGGAAUUCCUGGUGUAGCGGCGGAAUGCGCAGAUAUCAGGAGGAACACCGGUGGCGAAGGCGGGUCUCUGGGCAGUAACUGACGCUGAGGAGCGAAAGCGUGGGGAGCGAACAGG
rnacentral:rRNA from 1 species